UGGGGAAUAUUGCACAAUGGAGGGAACUCUGAUGCAGCGACGCCGCGUGAACGAAGAAGGCUUUCGAGUCGUAAAGUUCUUUUAUAUGGGAAGAUAAUGACGGUACCAUAAGAAAAAGCCCCGGCUAACUACGUGCCAGCAGCCGCGGUAAUACGUAGGGGGCUAGCGUUGUCAGGAAUCACUGGGCGUAAAGGGUUCGCAGGCGGAAAUGCAAGUCAGGUGUAAAAGGCAGUAGCUUAACUACUGUAAGCAUUUGAAACUGCAUAUCUUGAGAAGAGUAGAGGUAAGUGGAAUUUUUAGUGUAGCGGUGAAAUGCGUAGAUAUUAAAAAGAAUACCGGUGGCGAAGGCGACUUACUGGGCUCAUUCUGACGCUGAGGAACGAAAGCGUGGGUAGCAAACAGG
rnacentral:rRNA from 1 species